CCGAUGGCGACCGGCGCACGGGUGAGUAACACGUAUCCAACCUGCCGAUAACUCGGGGGAUAGCCUUUCGAAAGAAAGAUUUAAUAUCCGAUAGGAUAUCAAGGUCGCAUGAUCUUGAUAUUAAAGAAUUUCGGUUAUCGAUGGGGAUGCGUUCCAUUAGUUAGUUGGCGGGGUAACGGCCCACCAAGACGACGAUGGAUAGGGGGUUCUGAGAGGAAGGUCCCCCACAUUGGAACUGAGACACGGUCCAAACUCCUACGGAAGGCAGCAG
rnacentral:rRNA from 1 species